CUUAUUAUUUCUUUUUCUAAAUUUAAUUUUUUUUUUCUUUAUUUUGGGAAAAUUUCAUUUUUUUUUUAAAUUUUGGCAAAAUUUUAUUUAUCCCCGGGUGAACAAGGGUAGGGUGUUAUUUACACCGGGGUAGUCAACCAAUCAGAUUGCAGUAUUUUUGCUGCAUAAGAAAUAUUAUACAAUUAUUGCCGUCAUACGAGGUGAACAUUCCAAAUGUUAACUAGAGUUAAAAUUUCUCCAUAUCUGAAUUCCCCGAUUAUUCAUUCACUUUUAUUAUAAUGUUGACUUUUAAUGUAAAUAAAAUUUUAAUCCAAAAUGAACUACAUUGUAUUUCAAUAAAAAAAAAAAAAAUAAACUACAAUGAGUCAGUUACAUUUAGGGAUAUUUUUUGUGUUAAAUUGAUACGAAAUAUCCCUGCUUUUAUAUUUAUUAACAUUGAGUCAAUAUGAUCCAAUAUGAUAUAAGCUUUGAAAUAUUUGAAAGAACUCAAAUACCUAAAAAUAGGUCCCAGACAAAAAUAUUUCUUACAAUUCAUGCUCUAAGCUAUAUUGACAAUUCGGUCAAACAUUGAAUAUGUUUUAUCUUUUAAUUCUUGGCUUAGACAUUUAGUUUUCUACCUCGGAUAUUUUUUUCACAAGGCUUAAAUGUCUGGCUUUUAAAGCAGAAUUGCUAAAGUACUGCCAAAAUAGUAUUACUUUGAGAGCUUGCCAUUUAUGCUUAUAUGAUAGCCAAGGCCUUACCACAAAACAACUUUAUUAAACAAUGUCUUCAUUAAAGAUGUUAAUGUAUUUAACAUUUCAUUUAUGGUAGGGCCUUCGCUGAUAUUUUAUUUUGCCUAAAACUAUGUAGAAAAUCUAUUUUAAGAAAAAAAAUGUUUAUGAUUUUUAUUUGUUAAUGACAUUACACUGAUAUGAUAGCUGAAAUUUUUAUACUACAAGAGUUCAGAUUAGAUCAUCCUAUUUAUUUAUAGAUAAAACUAAAUGAAAUAAUUGAAUAUUUUUUUUGAAUUUUUUUUUCCAAUUUCAGAUUAUGGCUCAUCAUGAUCUUCCUUCUUUCUUAUAUUUUUUCUUGAAAUCAUUUCACGCUAAAAAUACUCCCCUAACGUAGUGACCAUAUUCCAAUGACUGAAACCUUUUUAUCAAAUAUCAUUUGCUUUAUCAACGCUUUGAUUACGGGUGACAAAUAAGGAUCAGACAGUUCAGUAGUUUGCGAAAUAUUAAUCUAACUCACUCUUAAUAGGUUGAGGUUAGGUGCUGCACAAUUAUACACACACACUCAAAACAGUUUUUCUGGCUUAUUCAUUAAAAAACCCUUUUGACUCCAACUUCUAUGAUGUUGAAAAAAUUGCUAAUUCAAAGAUAAGAAACUGCUUACCAUAAUAGACCAUCUUACACGACCAAAGUUCAGUGCAAACUGUUGUCAUGAUAUGACGCCAGUCGUGUCUAAAAUACAUUGCUCUCAAACUAUUGUGCUACAAUUAAAAAAAAAAAUGGAAAAUCAUUAUAUGUUCCAUUUUCUGAAUUCUUUUAGGCCAGUUUCAAAUUUUUAUCUAUGUGCAAUCACUUCCAGUUUCAAGCCUAAUAUCUAAUGUACUGUGUAACAACUCUAGAUUCUACUGACGAGGAAAGGUAACACUAGGCCAAAUAAGCUGAAUUUUAGGUUUAGUCUAGGUGGCCCAGUGGCCAAGAGCGUUAGACCCAGUGAAGGUGGUGCUGUCUCUAUAUCCCUAUAGCAUGAGUUCGAAUUCCGACUCGAGGGAAGAACAAUGCAGAUCUAACAUUGUUUUUUUCUGAAAUUUGGAGCAAUUAUAUAUUUAUAUAUGAAAAAGCUUGAUGGUGUCAGUCCAUAGGAAAUUGUCACAAACAUUGCAUGUUGAUCAGUAUAGACAUCAAAUUUCAUAUCUCUGACUGAAGGGACUUUAUAUAUUCACAUGUUAUAGUGGUUGCCUGCAAAGAUUCUAUAAUUAAUAUAUUGAUAUUGAUAGUUGCAUAAAUGACGAUUGUAUUUCUACAUAAACCCAGAAAACCGUAUUGAAAUCCGUUUAUGUUUUCGUCUCCAAAUUAUGUCAACAAACUUGCUAUAGGAAUAAAAAAUAGGUGUUCCUAUAUAAACAAGUGAUACAACUCUUUAUCUUGUCCCAAGACAAAAAAAUAGCGCUUGAUACAACUUUUUUUAAAUGAUUUUUGACAAGGCCAAAUAUAUUUUCAAACUGUGUACCUAAAAAGGUUGAGGAUUUUGUUGGGACUUAAUAUAAUUGUUAUAUUACAGCACUUGGCAGUGCCAAAAUGCGGAAAACAGGCUUCUUUGAGAUUAUAGAUUUGUUAUAUGUUAUUGUAUAAUUUAUAUUUUCCCUCUUAUUAAAAGACAAGAAUAUUUUUAAAACUGGUAGUUACUUCAUUUUGUAUACAAACGACACUGAAAAUCUCCGAUCGAGUAACAGAAAAGAUCUCGAUACUAAACCUCUCAUUUCACCGCAGACUGAAAAGAUAUAACAUUAAAAUAUCAUACAACUUAUCGACUACGGCACAUUUUAUGCACCAUAUUUUUAUUUUCAUGAAAUCAUACAAAAGCACACGAAAACCACUGACUGGAAAGAUGAAACCUUUAAAUGUCAUAAAGCUUCUGGACUCCGCCACAUUUAAUGCGCCAUAUUUUAAUUUUCAUUAAA
rnacentral:lncRNA from 1 species